AUUGAACGCUGGCGGCAGGCCUAACACAUGCAAGUCGAACGGUAACAGGAAGCAGCUUGCUGCUUCGCUGACGAGUGGCGGACGGGUGAGUAAUGUCUGGGAAACUGCCUGAUGGAGGGGGAUAACUACUGGAAACGGUAGCUAAUACCGCAUAACGUCGCAAGCCCAAAGAGGGGGACCUUAGGGCCUCUUGCCAUCGGAUGUGCCCAGAUGGGAUUAGCUAGUAGGUGGGGUAACGGCUCACCUAGGCGACGAUCCCUAGCUGGUCUGAGAGGAUGACCAGCCACACUGGAACUGAGACACGGUCCAGACUCCUACGGGAGGCAGCAGUGGGGAAUAUUGCACAAUGGGCGCAAGCCUGAUGCAGCCAUGCCGCGUGUAUGAAGAAGGCCGUCGGGUUGUAAAGUACUUUCAGCGGGGAGGAAGGGAGUAAAGUUAAUACCUUUGCUCAUUGACGUUACCCGCAGAAGAAGCACCGGCUAACUCCGUGC
rnacentral:rRNA from 1 species